ACGCUCGACACCUACUGGAGGCAGCAGUGGGGAAUAUUGCACAAUGGGGGGAACCCUGAUGCAGCGACGCCGCGUGAGUGAAGAGGUACUUCGGUAUGUAAAGCUCUAUCAGCAGGGAAGAAAAUGACGGUACCUGACUAAGAAGCCCCGGCUAACUACGUGUCAGCAGCCGCGGUAAUCUGAGCGGGCUGGCAAGGC
rnacentral:rRNA from 1 species